rnacentral:piRNA from 1 species
ACAACUUGAACUCUCUCACUGAUU